CCCAGACUCCUACGGGAGGCAGCAGUGGGGAAUAUUGCACAAUGGGGGAAACCCUGAUGCAGCGACGCCGCGUGAGUGAAGAAGUAUUUCGGUAUGUAAAGCUCUAUCAGCAGGGAAGAAAGAAAUGACGGUACCUGAGUAAGAAGCCCCGGCUAACUACGUGCCAGCAGCCGCGGUAAUACGUAGGGGGCAAGCGUUAUCCGGAAUUACUGGGUGUAAAGGGAGCGUAGACGGUGAAGUAAGUCUGGAGUGAAAGGCGGGGGCCCAACCCCCGGACCGCUCUGGAAACUAUUUGACUGGAGUGCAGGAGAGGUAAGCGGAAUUCCUAGUGUAGCGGUGAAAUGCGUAGAUAUUAGGAGGAACACCAGUGGCGAAGGCGGCCUGCUGGACAGUAACUGACGUUGAGGCUCGAAAGCGUGGGGAGCAAACAGGAUUAGAUACCCGAGUA
rnacentral:rRNA from 1 species